rnacentral:lncRNA from 1 species
UACGCUGCAAAAGCUGAGCACCGCAGUAAUUAUGAGAACCCCUCCUGUCGGUUUUCUCCAUUUUCAACAAUAACAGACCUUAGGAAAUCUAUACACAUAGAGAUCCUCGCUUCCAUGGCCUCUUCUUGAAAAAAAAUCAAACGACCUCCUGAAGGUUUUCUUCUUCAACCUUAGCAUACGAAAAGCCUAACACCAAGAGCAGCGACCCUAACUCCUUCCUCUCAGAUUCAAACGACCCCAUCCCUUCGCCAAACAACCAGCGACCACUGGUUACUAUCGUCAGUCCAAAACGAGAGCCGCAUUAGUGAUGAAAAGUUUUUGCGUUCCCUUAUCGUUUUUUGUUUAUCGUUAAAGAAAAAUAGAGGUAAAAAUGAACAGAGUGAGAGAUUGAUGGAGGAACGGACGCUCAGACCUGAGUGACGGGGUAGCGAGUCAGUCCGGUCAGAGCUUAUGAGAUUUCCGACGAGAUUUUCCGGCUUAGAUUUUGUUGCCAGUCCUGUUCAUUCCGUCGAUUAGCAUUUUCAAAUUGUAAGUCAUUUAAAUUUCAGAUUAAUAGAGGUUUAUCUUUCUUCUCCCUCUGUUUCAUGUGUAUUUCUUAUGUGAUUGGUUCCAUGAAAAAUUGGAUUUCGUGGUCGUCUUCUUAGGGUUCGUCACUGCACCACAACUCAGUUUUCAUUUGUGAUUUCUUUUAUUUGUUCGUCAAUCUGGUUUGUUAGUGCUCGUUUGGUUAUAACACUGAAUCUGGUCCUGACUUCAAAUCAUUGGCUUAAAGUAAUGUUAGUAGAGGAUUUGGAAGUUAGGCGUGGUUGGUUUAAAGUUAGAUCUGAAACUUGAUUAAUAAUGGUAAGAAUUCGAGUUUAAGAAAGUUUAUGUUAUUUUUGUUUUCGUUCUCUUUUAUAAUUACUUGGGAUCCAAAAAUAAGAGUGCAAUUAUUAAGAAUUGAACAACAAGUUCAUGUGACUUCAUAGAGCUAUAGGAUUAGCCACCAUAUAAUGCAAAGUUGACUAGAAUUGAGAGAUGAUAUAUAUAGAUGGUGUUAAUCAAAGUUCAAAGAUUGUUCUCAUGUUUAAGUCCACUCAUUUUGUCGUACCAUUUUUAGUGUAGUUAAUAGCUUCUUUUAAAUGCUUUUACAUGUUGAAUGAUCGAUCUUGGUUGGUCAUUAUGUAUCUUAAAUGGUUGUUUGGCCAUGGGAGGUCCGAUCUUGAAACAUAAUAAUAAGGAGUCAUGGGCUGUUGGAUAUUAACUAAAGGUAAAACUCGGUUCAAUGUCUUUUAUUUAAUUCUACUUUGUUGUAUCACUUUAAUCGCUAUGAGCAUGAUUAGGCGGGCUACACCCGAGUAGGUAAACCUUUAGGCGAGUUUUGAUUUUAUUAUCGUGUUAGUAAUGAUUAUCAUGGCUACGGGUACGAUUCCCGUGAUGUAGUUGUGAUUUGUAAUUGCUAAAAUAUGUCAACAAUGUUAAAAUAUGUCGACAAUGUUAAAAUAUGUCGAAGACUGCGGGUGCAUUUAUGUGACGUGGUUCGAGACGUGUUUUAAUAAUGUUGCAAUCUUUUAAAAAAUGAAUAAAAGCGAUUAAAGUUGAAAUUGAACCAUAGGCUAAAAUGUGUUUAAAAUCAGAUAAUUAAACUGAAUAUAACGGUUGAGCGACUGUGCUAGAACCACGGAACCCGAGAGUGCCUAACACCUUCUCCCGGGUUAACAGAAUUCCUUACCCGGAUUUUUGGUUCGCGGACUGUUAAACAGAGUCAAGCUUUUCCUCGAUUCGGGAUUCAACCGGUGACUUGGGACACCAUAAAUCUCCCAAGUGGCGACUCUGAAUCUUUUAACAAUAAAUCCCGUUUUGAUUGUCCUUUAAUUGUAAAAACUCCCUUAUACUCCUUUCUCGGGGGUGUAGGUAAAAAAAGGAGGUGUGACAGUGAGGAAACAUCGUAUGUGCUGUCUGCUCUUCUCCUUACGUCUAUUAGCUGGUAGGAAUUUUGUUAAAGCACUUGCACAAGCAUACACGUAGUUGAACACUCUUAUUGGAUGUGAAGUCCUCCUAAUUUUGUUGAGUAUAGAUAUACACCCUCGUUUACUUAUUAUAUAUAUGAGAGUGGCCCCGGUUAGCAAGUGAGUUGUCAGUAUGACCAUGAGGCUGAUGGGGGAACAUGAUGCCAAGUGUUAGAUUUCAGGUACUGGGACUCGUGAGUUGUAAUUGUCCGAGAUUUGGUAUUUCGUGGAAAUUGUUGGAUAAGACCUGAUGUGAACACUGUCGUAGGAUCUGAGUUAUUGCUUACAUUUACUGUAUUGUGACUCUAGGAUUUGGGUUGUAUUUUUGCUCGCUUUUCUGUGUCAUUAUUUUGGUAUUUCAUUUGCUUGCAGUUUUCUUCCCUUAUUGAGAUUGUAGUAUUGUUAGCCAUUUCGUGUAGUCUUUAUAUAUGCAUCAUGUCCUGUUAUUCCUAUAUUUGUAUAAUUUAUUGGACUGGUAGGUGUCUUGACUGUUCCUCGUCACUACUCCACCGAGGUUAGUCUUGAUACUUAUUGGGAACCGCUGUGGUGUGCUCAUGCUACUCUUCUGCACAUUUUUGUUGUGCAGAUCUAGGUACUUCCACUCAGUUCUAUCAUCCUUGGGAGGAGACAUUUCUGUAGAGACUUUGAGGUAUAUCUGCCGUGUCCGCAGACGUAGGAGUCCCUUUCUAUCUUUCUGUAAUAAGUAUAGCCCUUCAGUAUUUUCCCCUUGUUUAGACAUUUUCGGAGUUAGAGUUUCUUAUGUAUCUCUUAGCUUGUGCUUCGUGAGAUUCGUGGUUUUGGGAUUGUUGUUAGCUUCGAGAGCUUUUAUUGUAUGUGCCGAACGGCACCUUAAACACUGUUUCAUUUUACUAUUUCGGUUUUUAAUUAUUUCUUCC